AACACAUGCUUUUAUCCGAUAGAAGUGUAAUUGAAGAUUCAGCCUUGAAGAUUUUGUUGGUAAAGAAAGUGGCAAAAUCAAACGUAAACACAAAAAUAUAUAUAUAUUUUUUUGUUGGACCAUCGAGCAAAUGGCUGCCCAGGCCUUUGUGUUCUUCAUAGCUGGUUUCGAGACUUCUUCGAGUACAAUUUCCUACUGUUUGUAUGAACUGGCCCAGCAUCCCGAUAUUCAGAGCCGCGUUAGAGAGAAAAGCGAAACGGUUCUCCAAAAUGUGGAAGGAGGCGAGAAAGAGUCUUACCAGGGUCUCCCAAAGGACUAUAAAAUGCACCAGAUUAAUCCACAUAUGCAUAUUGCUUAGUGAACCACUAACUGGAACCAGCGAUUCUAGUGAUGCUGUCCAUCCCUGUGGAAAUAAAAUGGCUACAACGUCAAAUUCUGACAGCGACAACGUCAAAUAUUAACAGAUGACAACGUCAAAAUUUGCCAGCUGUCAACUCGCCAAUUUUCAUUGGUUGAAAAUAUUCCAGCCAAUGAGAAGGAAGAGGGGAGAAAAAAUUUGUCCUCCACAGUGGUUGAGGCACAUUUGAAACUUGAACUACAAUAUAUUAUUAGGGAAUUUCAAAUUAAAUUAAGUA
rnacentral:misc_RNA from 1 species